CAUCAGCUGUGUGGGCGAAUUCCAGCAACCUUCCUCCUUUUCAGCACUCAGAAAUUUUUCGAUUAAUCUAAAUUGUUUGCUUGUCUUCUGGGCGAAGAUGACCCAUUGGAGACAGUUCACUGUGUGUUUCAUAAGAAGGUGCAAUCUUUCAAUCAAGAUCUGGACCAAAGCCAAAAUGCAGGAUGCAGGACAUGGCUACAUGUCAUCUUGUAUGCCACCAACCUCUUCCCCCAACUUUUAUCCUUUGGAAAGUGGCAAAAUAGAUAACAUAAUGGUGAGUGCCACUCAUCUGUAUAGCUUGUAUUCUUUUUCAGAAUUUGGCUCAGAAUGGUAUCAAAUUUCCAAUAGAAUAUCAUCAUGAAAAUUUCUCUCUCUCUCUCUCUC